GUAGGUGAACCUGCGGAGGGAUCAUUAACACGUAUCCAAACGUUAUAAACCAAAACCGUGCUCCUCUUUUUGCCCAUACUGGAAGGUGUAUAUGCAAGCCAUAAGAUAGAUUCAGUUAGUUUCGGCUUUCUGUCUACUUGCAGUACUAUGAUCCCACCCGAGGAUCGAACCGCUCUGGUAUGGUGUAUCAAAAGCUAUCUUGGUUAUCAGUGCCACCCCGGUAUCGACCCGGAGCCUGGUAGCCUUAUUA
rnacentral:misc_RNA from 1 species